GGUCUAGCAAUGAUGGAAUUUAUAUUCUGUUUACAGAAUCACAUAAAAUUUUGUAUAGAAUAGCAAAAAGUGAUUCAAUUUCUACCAUUAUUAUGAUAUUCCAAUACGAUUGAAUACCGGUAAAAUAAAUGGAUUCGGUAUUUAAUCUUUCGAUGAGAUAAAGAACCAAUAAUCAGAAACAAUAUAAAGUGGAUUUCAUUGUUUAGUUCAAAAAAAACAUAGAAGAAAUAUAUUUUUAUCUAUUUUUUUAAUCGAGUUCAUAUAAUACGAUUGAAGUGCAUAAGAAGGUUUAUUAAACAUACGCAGACAUAACUAUAAUUAUUUAUAGUUAUACGCCUCUUCUUUUACUGCAGUUCUAUUUUUGACAGCGCAUGUCAUGCUCUAUCAAAAUUUCUAUUCAAUUUUUGAUUGAAUAGAAAUUUUCCUAUAGGAAUCAUAGACAGAUAAGAUAUCAGAUUAUAUAUCUGUGUAAAAUUUUCUGUUCUAGGGUUUACAUAUACUCAUAAUUGUUGUUAUAAUUGAAAUUGAGAAGAAUUUUUUUUAUUGAAAGGAAUCAAUACUGAUGGGUUACGUAUCAAUUUUCUUAUAUCAUUAGGAUUAGGGAAAUACUAUUUUAGAUUCAAAUACAAGAAUCGUUCAUGAAUUCACAGUCAAAUAGUUAAUGGUUCCAAUUUGUCCUUAAAAAGAAAAAAAAAAAGAGGGGGGAUAUUUUCGUCUAUUUUGUGUUGCCUUGGCGGCAUGGCCGAGCGGUAAGGCGGGGGACUGCAAAUCCUUUUUCCCCAGUUCAAAUCCGGGUGUCGCCUGAUCAACAAAAGGCGCAAAAUGCUUUAUUCCCUUUUGCUGAUAUAACUUGUCGAACUUUCCCCCAACAGGAGCACGCGAAGGAAAGGACAUCUUGAUACUUCCUUGAUUCUAAACAUCGGAAAAUUCUGUUCUCUAAAGUGCUGUAAAUUCUUGCAUCUAGGAUUCGGGGAAAGUUUAUAGUGAUGAAAGGGAAUCGGUAAAUCUUGAUAUAAUAGUCCUUCCACCACUAAUGCAGUGUUUACUGACUGAGUCUUGAAUUAGAUUGGAUAGCGGGGCAGGGAAUCUAAUUAGUAGUUGUUGAAAGGGUGAAAGGUCUUUUGUAUACAAACUCAUGAGAAUUCCUGAGUACUCAGGAAUUCAAUCAGUCAAAUAGUGAUUGAAUAGAUAAUUGGCUUUUACUUAUACAUAUCUAUUUUUUUUCUUACAUUUUAGUAACACUUUCUUGAUACUUCCAAGGGUCUUGCUGCCUAUUUUGUUUGUACUAAAAGUUUUUCGAUUCUAUUAGCAAUCAUAUAAGAACUUCUUAGAAUUAAUUGGAUUUUUUGGAUUGUUUCAUCAAUAUAUUGAACAGAAUCUUUUUUUUUGACUCUGCGCCAGCGAUUCUACUAUUAUUAGUGAACAAUAAUGGAAAAAUUCCUUCAUAUUCAUAGAGAUAGAGGACAUAAUUCACAUGGAUAUAGUAAGUCUCGCUUGGGCUGCUUUAAUGGUAGUCUUUACAUUUUCCCUUUCACUCGUAGUAUGGGGAAGAAGUGGACUCUAGGGUACUACUAAUUGAGUUGAGAAAUCAAACUGUAUCAACUGUUUUAUAGAUCAUUUUGCAAAGAUUUUUGAAUUUAACUGUUUAUGUUUAAAUUUAAUUUAAUUAUUUAAUUCUAUUUAAUUCAAUUUCUAAAUUCUUACAAAUUUAGAAAUUGAAUUAAAAAUAUCUUCAAUCCAAAAUUCUAUUGGAUUCGAGUGAAGUAAUAUAUUCUAUGAAUAGAAUAAUAUAUGAAUAAUACCCUUUUAAUCAUAAUCAAACAAAUAUUUCAAUGAUUCUCGUGUUCAUAUUUCGAAAGUAAAAGGAAUACAAAUGAUAGGAAAUUUAUUCCAACAAAAUUAUUCCUAAAUUUUCUAUUUUGAGAAAUAUGAACAAUGAAGAAGAGCGAACCCCCUCCCUUUUUUUUAUUUGUUUGCCUUUUUCCUGUUCAAAUUCAAAGAGAAAACAAUAUUAAAUAUUAAAAAUGAUUAAAUUAAGUGAAUUUUCUAUGAGAAAUAAGAUAGACAUAGUGAUUCUCCAAUGAGAUACUACGCAUACUAAGAUAUUUUCUUGCUUCGUGCUUAGUUUAGUAUUUGUUUUAUUAUUUUAUAAAUUGGAUUUAUGCUAUACCUUAUUGACUUGACUUAUUUCAUAUCAUGAUUCAAAGGUUAAAAAUCGGCAGGGUUUGCUAGUUUACUAAUCCUUUUUGUUGAAAUCUGAAAAAAGUUUUUAUAGAACUCCUUUCCUUGGAUGAUCUGUCAACUGCUCAAUCAAUUACUUAUUCGAAAUGUUAAAAAUAAAAAAAAAAAAAGAUUUCUUGAUUUUCUUUUAUUAAUAUUUGUUCCGAUUUAUUCCUUUUGAUUGAUUUUAGUCUUUCGGUAAAUGCCGGGAUUCAUAUUGAAAAUAAUAAGAAAUCUAGGAAUUAGAAUCGUAAAAGUACGAGUAAGAGUUGCCUUUCGACUCUUUUAGAUUAAUUGGAAUCAACACAAAUCAAAUAGAUGAAGAAAUAGAAUUCAAAUAGAUGAAGAAAUAGAAUUGGGACGUUAUAUACAUUACAUAGAUAAUUAAUAUCUAGAUAUAUAAAUACUAGAUAUAUAAAUAUAAGAUGAUAUUAUAGAUUAAUCUAUAUUUAUAUUAAGCCUAUAUCUUUAUACAGUAAAAACUUUAUACACUAGAAUAACAAAUAAGGAUAGUAUGAUAGAUUUCUUUCUAUCAUACUAUCGGAUCUCAUAGAAUACUGCUAAUUCUAGUCCCUUCCUUUCAUCUAAAACGCAAAAUAGGAAUCCUUUUCAAUGAUUGAAGAAAAAAACUUUUCAUUUUUUUUCUUCAAUCAUUGAUAUUGAUAAGAACUAAGAAGUCAAGUUUCAUUCAAAUUAAUCACCUUGACUAACUGUUUUUACGUAUAUUAUAAGUAAAAAAGCAGUAGGAACUAGAAUGAACAGUGCAGUAGCAAUAAAUGCAAGAAUAUUUACUUCCAUAAUCUCAUCGUUUCGUUUUUCUUUACUUCGCAAUAACUCGGGAUUUAAUCCCAUAGAGAUAAUAAAUCUUUCGCCUCUAAAUUCAAUGGGAUAAAUUCCAUCUCGAUGAUAUCGAGUCUGAUCAAUAUCAUGAAUAACAAUAUCUGAGCUAUCAAAUCGAUUCAUCGUCGAGAAUUGAAUAGUAUAACAUAGAAAGAUCUUUUAUCCAUACCGAAUUCAAAAAAUGGAUUCUUGAUUCAAUUGAUAAUUUCUUUACUUUACUUUAUUUUUAUUUAUCAUAUUCUUUCUUUUCUAUAAAAAUCAAAAUUUCGCCUUCUUUGUACAAUCAUCUGACGAAGACCCACCUUUACACUUACAUUGGUUACAACCAAACCAAAACAAACAAUAGGAGCAAAACGGGGAAGGGGGCGUUAAGUUAUAAAUUCCUUUUUUAAUGAUCUAAUCUUAUUGGAAAACAAAAAAAUGUGAUCAAGUCCCAAUAUAGAAUAUAGUAUAAACAAAUCGAAUAUUUUACCAAAUUCAUUUUUUAGGAUUUGUUUUUUUUCAGCAAAAAUCCUUAAAAAAAAAUUAUUCAUUCCCUCUCUAAUAGAAGUGGGAUCCUUAUUUUUAUUUGAUCUUUAUUUUAUUAAUAUCCCCCUUCUUUGGUAAUGAAAUGCAUAGAAUAUAUUAAAACUUCAAUGCGCAAUUUGAAUGAGAUAGAUUGUUUCAAAUUCAAAUUUGUAAUUGAGAUUACACAAAAUUGGAACCAAAAAAAAGAGACUUUUCGGAUUAAAAGAAAAGGAUUCUAUCAAAGCAAUUAAAUUACUUUUGUAUCGUACAAAUAAAAAUUCCAUUUGUGUACGUGCUACCGGAAAAGAUACGGUACUUGAUUCGAUUUCGGUCGGGAGUAAUCGAAAAAUCCAAACUCAGUAUAGUAUCUUUUGGAAUCUUGAAUAUGACGCUACCAAAAAUUAUACUAAUCCACAUAUGUCUCUAUCAAUCAGUACUAGUUGAAAAAAUGAAAAUUUCCAUAUUUGUAUUGACUUUGAUGAGAAAUGAAAAACGAAAAAAAAAAAUAAAUAUAAAUAAGAAUAAAAUUAAGAAUAAUAAGGAUCCCCUUGGGAAUGAAAUUGUGCUAUUUGCCCCCUUCGCCGAAAGGGGAGAGAUGAAUUGAUGUAUUUUUUUAUUAGAUUAUUGGAUUUUGAUCCGUCGGGACUGACGGGGCUCGAACCCGCAGCUUCCGCCUUGACAGGGCGGUGCUCUGACCAAUUGAACUACAAUCCCGGGGAAAUGCAAUAAAGUGUACAGCAUACAUAUUCUUAUGAUUUCAUUCAAACCUUUAUACUAUAUUAGAUUUUAUAUUGGAAUUGUCGCGUUGUAACAGAAACGGGAGUGGUAUACUGAUAUCCACAUGGAUAUUCACUUUAGUGAGAAAAAGUGAUAAAAGGGACAGGGGUUACUAGUCAUCUUUUCGUUAUUUCAAAUCAAAGUCGAUUGAUAAUAAAAAAAUCUUUCAAUGAAAAAAGACUCUUUUUUUCUUUCAAUUAUUCUUUUUCUUAGACUUUAUACUUACAAAUCCUGAUCUGAAUCUAGAUCAUUAGCAAGAUCAUAAUUUGUGAGAAAAAAAAAGAAAGCAAAUCAAAUAAAGAACAGGUAGAGAUAUAUCACAAAUUUUGAAUUUUUUUCCGUAUCAGGCAUUUCGAGAGAACAAAGGGGUUAUAUCAUUUCAUGGCGGAUCAGUGAAUUAUUGGGCCGAGCUGGAUUUGAACCAGCGUAGACAUAUUGCCAACGAAUUUACAGUCCGUCCCCAUUAACCGCUCGGGCAUCGACCCAGGAAGAAUCAAUUCCAGACUUAUUAAUAAUCCACGAUCAACUUCCUUUCGUAAUACCCUACCCCCAGGGGAAGUCGAAUCCCCGCUGCCUCCUUGAAAGAGAGAUGUCCUGAACCACUAGACGAUGGGGGCGCGUUUGCCCGACCGCCAGCAUACUAUGAGCAUAGUAUGAACAGUUUUUUGAAAUUGUCAAUAUAACGAAAUGGUAUGACUAGAUUCGAAGAAUCUUUCUGUCUUUCAUGAUUCCAUAGCAUUUUUUUUUUAUUCUUAUAUUCAUGAAAGAUUCAUUCUAAUUGCCAUUAUAUUAAAUUAUUUAGAAUUUUUUUUUAUAAUUUAUUAAUUUUUUUUUAAGAAUUUGGUUCGGGGGACAAAAAAACUCUUUUCAUCAGUGAUUCGAUGAAAUAUCUUGGAUCUAUGUUGAAUUACUAAAUACAUGUAUUAAUCAAAUGUAUUUCGUUCUGAUGGUGGUCAAUUCAAUUAGGUUUUGGUUUGGCCUUGAAAAAUUCAUUACAUUGAUAUUUAUCAAAUUCAAUAUCAAUAAACCACUUUUUACCUAUUCACUAGUUUAGCCUUUACUCACUAGGUAAAUCAAAUCAAAUCUCUCACUUAUGAAUUGAAUGAACUACUAUGAGUCUACUCCCUAUACCCUAUAUUUAGUAUAAUAUACUUAUAUAUUAUAUAUUAAUUUAUAAUAUACUUAGUAUAAUUAUAUAAUAUUUUAAUUAAUAUAAAUUAAUAUAUAAUAUUAUAUAAAUUUAGUAUAUAAAUAUAUUUAUAUAAUUUAUUUACAAUAUAUCCAUUUACUUUAUAAAAUAAAAAUUUUAUUUCUAAUCUAUUUCCAUAGAUCUAUCUUAUCCGCAUAGCGGCUCAUUCAGGAAUUGAAUCAAAGUGGCCCUUUUAACUCAGUGGUAGAGUAACGCCAUGGUAAGGCGUAAGUCAUCGGUUCAAAUCCGAUAAGGGGCUUUGGCCUUUUUUCAUAAAACCCAGCAGUAGUAUUCUUAUUUGCAGUAGUAUUCUUAUUUGAAGAGGGAAUAGAAAUAUUUUUGAUAUUUGUAAUAAAAAAAGUAAGAAACUCUAUAAUUAAUUCUAAAAUAAAAUUAGAAAUUUUUAAAAAUUAACAUUAUAAUGAUUUAUACCACAUUAAUACUAUAUAAAAUUAAUAUUAAUUAUAACUAUAAACUAUAACUAUAAACAUUUAAUUCUAGUUACUAGUUAUAAAUAUAGUUAUAAAGUUGAACAUUUAGUAUAUUAUAUUUAGUAUAUUAUAAUGAUUUAGUAUAUUAUAAUGAAUAAUGAUAAAUUGGCUCUUAAAUCGCCAAAUUUUAUUAUUUUCCAUUAUUCCAAUCAAAUCAAUUCUAAAAAUUAGAUUAGAAAUCAAUAAAAGAAAAAGUAAGUGGACCUAACCUAUUGCAUCAUGACUAUAUCUACUAUUCUGAUAUUAAAAUUCGAUAUACGAUAUAGAUGAAAUUGAAACAGUAGUUUUGCUUUUUCUUUUAUUUUCAUAUUCCUUUUUCUUUGGACUCCGAAAAAAUCUGUCGAUAUUUCUGAUUAAAGCUUCUUGCUCCUAGUUAUUCUAUAGGAAAAAAUCACUGUUCCCUUCCUCCAUAGAAAAGUUUAUUCGAAGUCAUAACAUAAGACAUAGAAGAGACUUUUAAAAUAUCUUUCUUUUAAAAUAUCUUUCUUUGAUUCCAGAACACAAAAUCAAUUUAUCAAUUUAUAUUGAUAUAUAUAUACCUAUAUGAGAUUUAUAUAUAAAUUUAUAUAUAAUAAGAUUGAUAUAUCUAUCAGAUCAUGGCUUUAUGUACUAAAUAUUUUCAUAUCGAUGCAUACAAUAUUUUUUUCCGAUAAUGUAAUGUAGAAUAAGUGUGAGAAAAAUACUUUCAUUUUCAAAUACUUUCAUUUAAAGUUUUCUAUUUAUUGAAUAGUGUAUUGAAUUUAAUAAUAGGAAAAUUCUCUUUCUUCUUUUCUGAAGAUAUAAAGUAAAUAUAAAAAAUAUUCGAAGUGUCUUUCUUGCUUUGACCUGCGAAAUAUUUUGGUUUUUUUAUCUGAAGGAAAAAUAAAUAUAACAAAAAAAGGCAAAAGGGAAAUAAAAUAUAAGAAAGAUGGCGAGAAAAAACAAAGUAUAAAAUAAUAAAAUAUAGGAUACUAUAGCAGUUUAAUGCACAUAGAAAUUAGAAGAAUACAUAAAAAUAUUGAUUUUUAGAAAUCUCAUGAACAAGAUGCAAGAAUAAGAUUAGUUUGAUAGAAUGAGAGAAGUAAGUCUGAGGAUCAACUAGUAAGGAGAUGGGGAUCACUUAUUCCUUGAACAGUUCUUUCAAAAAAUUCAUCUAUCUGAUUGAUGAGUCAUAAAAAAAUUCAUGGUUCGUGCGGUUAUUAAGACUAUAAGAAGGAAUAACCGAAUUGAAUUCAUGAAUUUACCUAAGUCGGGUUAUGGGCCGAUAAAGAAUUUUUUUCUUCGAAACCCAUUAAAAAUUAGAAGGUGCAGUGUACGAAAAAUCAAAUCAUACAUAAAUGAUAGAAGUUUCAAAGGCCCUGAAAAUGCUAUGAGGUGUUCGGAAAUGGUUGAAGUAGUUGAAUAGGAGGAUCGCUAUGACUAUAGCCCUUGGUAAAUUUACCAAAGACGAAAAUGAUUUAUUUGAUAUUAUGGAUGACUGGUUACGGAGGGACCGUU
rnacentral:lncRNA from 1 species